rnacentral:misc_RNA from 1 species
GUCUCUGAAGCUCUUAGCUAAGUAUUACGGGCCAUUUGAAAUUCUAGAGAAGGUUGGAACAGUAGCUUAUAAACUCAAUCUGCCACCAGGAAGUAGAAUACACUAUCUUUCAUGUCUCCUUGUUAAAGAAGAAAAUUGGAGACAAUGUAGUUCGCAUGAAAGAUCUGCCAACAUUUCAGGAAGAAGACUAUUUCAUUCAGC